UCCCAAGGCAUGGUCGGUCAGCUCAUGGCUCGGCAUGCAGAUGGGGUCACAUUGGAGAUAAUCAAAGAGGAAAAGAUCGCUGUGGAAACUUCGUUGAGAUAAGCAAUACAGUUGAUCACGACCGCUUCGCUGGUCAGUCGCUGCAGGAAGAGCACAGAGGUAAAGAGAUUAAGUGCCUUGACGAAAAUAAAGGACCACCAAACGUCCUGCAACGGAAUAAAUGAGCUCUUCCGAUCCUUCCGGUUCUUAAGCUGAUCCGCAGACCUGCAAGUAUGUUUGGGCCUCGCGGGUACGCAGUGUCUGUUGCGUACAUCCUCUUCUAGGACGUAACAGCGCCUGCUGACAAAACUUGACAGCAAAUUGACAGUAGAAACUAAACAAGAUCUGCAAUAUGUUCCGUCCCAAUAACCAAGUGUCAAUCGCAAAAUGUACGCGAGCAUGCUGUUAUUGCGUCAUCUAGAUCUGACGAGUGCACGUCGGCUCAUCGUGCUUAAUAAAUUGUUCGAACACCAUGCCAGCAUUUUACAUUUCAAAAUGAUAGCAUCAGCGUGCGCUGUGUACUGCGACAACACUGAAUAUCAUCUCCUAUAUGGUAUAAAAUAGCACGAUAAAACAUAAAACUGAUCGCACGCAUGACGUGCUGGCGCAC